AUAAUGAUACUCCUGUAUAGCCACAGUCCGAGCGUUAAAAGCGUCGCAGGCAAUGGGUACAGCUCCGGCAGACCGUCGGAGGGGUGAAACGCCCGUGA
rnacentral:ncRNA from 1 species